rnacentral:rRNA from 1 species
AUUGAACGCUGGCGGCAGGCCUAACCCAUGCAAGUCGAGCGAGCGGCGGACGGGUGAGUAAUGUCUGGGAAACUGCCUGAUGGAGGGGGAUAACUAAUGGAAACGGUAGCUAAUCCCGCAUACCAUCAGAUGUGCCUAGAUGGGAUUAGCUAGUAGUUGGGGUAAUGGCUCACCUAGGCGACGAUCCCUAGCUGGUCUGAGCGGAUGACCAGCCACACUGGAACUGAGACACGGUCCAGACUCCUACGGGAGGCAGCAGUGGGGAAUAUUGCACAAUGGGCGCAAGCCUGAUCCAGCCAUGCCGCGUGUGUGAAGAAGGUCUUCGGAUUGUAAAGCACUUUAAGUUGGGAGGCGUUACCAACAGAAUAAGCACCGGCUAACUUCGUGCCAGCAGCCGCGGUAAUUAC